rnacentral:rRNA from 1 species
UACGGGGGGGGCAAGCGUUGUUCGGAAUUAUUGGGCGUAAAGAGCGUGUAGGCGGCUUUACAGGUCCGUUGUGAAAACUCGAGGCUCAACCUCGAGACGCCGGUGGAAACCGUAAGGCUAGAGUCCGGAAGAGGAGAGUGGAAUUCCUGGUGUAGCGGUGAAAUGCGCAGAUAUCAGGAAGAACACCCGUGGCGAAGGCGGCUCUCUGGGACGGUACUGACGCUGAGGUGCGAAAGCGUGGGGAGCAAACAGG